GUGGGUAACCUGCCUUAUAGUGGGGGAUAGCCUUUCGAAAGGAAGAUUAAUACCGCAUAAGAUUGUAGUAUCGCAUGAUAUGGCAAUUAAAGGAGCAAUUCGCUAUAAGAUGGACCCGCGUCGCAUUAGCUAGUUGGGUGAGGUAAUGGCUCACCAAGGCGACGAUGCGUAGCCGACCUGAGAGGGUGAUCGGCCACAUUGGGACUGAGACACGGCCAGACUCCUACGGGAGGCAGCAUG
rnacentral:rRNA from 1 species